CUUUUUGCGAAGUGGGCUCGUGGGUUGGCAGUAUGAGAGUUGUAAUGGCCCGACUGUUGAGUGAGGGGGAGCAGGGGAUCCCAACGGCUUGCGCUGCCUUUGCGCAGCAGCCGGCGGGCGGCCACGUCGCGGCCUGGCUGGGGUAGGAGAGGGCGGUCCCCAGUGCAGUUGGGUGAACUACCGUUGCACACUGGAGUUUCUGGUGUCUUUGCUUGGAACUGACCUAGCUCGUGGCAGGGGGAACUCGGCUAGCGGCCCCACAGCCCCUGCUGACUCAAAACAACUGAGUUGUAAGACGUUCAUCGCCGUGUUAUCCUUGAGUAAAGAAUGAACUCUGGAAGCCCAGCCAGGGACAAUGCACCUUCACAGAGAUUCUGCACUAAUCUGAGUGAAGGUCUAAGGUUUGGAAUCUCCCCCUCAUGGAGAGAAGCUUUGUAUGGCUGUCAUGCUUAGACAGUGAUUCCUGCAACUUGACCUUCAGGCUGGGAGAGGUGGAGAGCCAUGCCUGUUCUCCUUCCUUGCUAUGGAAUUUGCUGACACAAUAUCUUCCGCCUGGUGCUGGGCAUAUCCUAAGAACUUACAACUUUCCUGUAUUAUCCUGUGUGAGCAGCUGUCACCUUAUUGGGGGAAAAAUGCCUGAAAAUUAGGGGGCACUUCAAGUAGAUAGCUUCUAUUUCCUAUAUUUGUCUUAUAUACAAGUAUUUGCUUUUAUCAAAAUAAUUCCAAUAAAGCAUUUUAAAGUAAA
rnacentral:lncRNA from 1 species